AUUGAACGCUGGCGGCAGGCCUAACACAUGCAAGUCGAGCGGAGCGGCGGACGGGUGAGUAAUGCCUAGGAAUCUGCCUGGUAGUGGGGGAUAACGUCCGGAAACGGGCGCUAAUACCGCAUACUAUCAGAUGAGCCUAGGUCGGAUUAGCUAGUUGGGGGGGUAAAGGCCUACCAAGGCGACGAUCCGUAACUGGUCUGAGAGGAUGAUCAGUCACACUGGAACUUAGACACGGUCCAGACUCCUACGGGAGGCAUCAGUGGGGAAGAUUGGCCAAUGGGCGAAAGCCUGAUCCAGCCAUGCCGCGUGUGUGAAGAAGGUCUUCGGAUUGUAAAGCACUUUCAUCGGGGAGGCGUUACCCGCAGAAGAAGCACCGGCUAACUCCGUGCCAGCAGCCGCGGUAAUUC
rnacentral:rRNA from 1 species